rnacentral:misc_RNA from 1 species
CUGCAAUGAUUGCUAAUGAACUGUUCAGAAGGUGAUAACAGUCUGGAGCUUCCUUAUAAAGGUUAAAUAGAAGUCGCUUGCUAGAAAAAUCUUUAUUCAAUUUCAUACUUUUAAGGAACACGAAGCAUAUCAACAGCAAGCAGUGAGAGAACACAUGCAUCCGCACUGUGCAUAUAACACUACAAAUGCAGAAGCAAUGUAAACCUACUGCUUACAUUGCAGAUAGUUCAGUCAAACAUAUCUACAAAAAUUCCCAUAUUAAAAGGACAAAAGAUUACAAUACAGAGAUGAAAAAUGAGCCAUUAUUAGAUGCUCUCAUACAAGCUACAAUCAUGAGGUUUGCAAACGUGCCUCAGCCAACUUCAAUGUCAGAAGGCUGUACGCUGUAGUUACUAUUUAGUAUCAUGGAUCUCAAACUCAGUUCAGUAGCAUGGUAACCAUAGACCUCAGAACAAAAGAUUAUUACUAAUGUAUCCUAUUUUACAAUAAAUUAACAAAAAAUACACAUAAAAAUUAAGUUUAUUGUAAUUUACCAGUUUUACUAUAUUAAAAAAAAAAAUUUCAAUCAUCUUCCCAAGCUUCAUAAUUAUGCCUAUGAUUGCAAGCAGCCUAUUGAUUCUAAGCAAUUUAAUGGGAAGUUAGACUUGAUCUUGGCCCAUUGGACAAGUGAGUAAGCAACCUCAAGAACAUAGAUGAGAGGCCAUACCCAGGUGGCCAGCAUGUUUAAAAUCUUGAGGAAUUUACAAGACAACUCCAGCAUGGAAGUUGAUAGAUUAGCAAUUCAAUAAUGUUGUAAAUAUUAAUUAAAUAUAUGAAUAAAAAAAAAAUACAACAAACCUUUCAGGUUUGCAGAAACACCAGUCUCUAUACAUUUGAGCAAAUUCUUCAAAUCUCCUUCUCUGGCAAAGGCAUGAAUGGCAUCCAUUUUCCUAAUAAGAGAAAACAUCAAAUAAAGAAACUUCGGAUGGUCAUGAGAAUCCCUUGCUUCAAUAUCAAAGUAUGUGUUGACAACAAUAAGGUUAAACCACACAGUAAUUUAGACAUUCUAUGGUUAGCAUUUUGAAAGAUGUAUGUAAUAGUAGUAGAAAUACUACCCAGAUGAUUUAACUUAUUUUUGAAAUGACUCAUGCAUAUAUAAACUUUAUAAUGUUCCAGGUCACCCUUCCCUUCAUCUGAUUCCUAAUCCCUACAUGAUGCUAUAAUAACCUCCAGUUGAUACAAGCAUUGGCUUUGCUAGUUGCCACAUAGGGUUAUCCACCAACAAUUUCCUGACCAUCCUAUCUCUCUUAUAUGGGUCUAGGUUGGAGAGAGAACCACACAGCUAACAUCAACUGCAUGGAAAUUCAAGCCAAGUGGGAAUCAAGGUUCAUUGUCAUUAACCAUUAAAGAAAAGGUUUGGUAUCAUAAUUAAGCAUAGCAGGUACCAAAUACUGAUAAGAGAGAGUUUAAUAUCUCCCCAGCAUAUAGAUACCUCUGUAAAAUCCUGAUUAACAUGCUCCUCAGAUUAGCCAACAUACCAGCUUGUGUAUGCACAAGCACAUGAGAAAAGACAACUAAUAAGAAUAGAGCCAAACCAACAAAUACAUUUACAUACUUUCCAAUGUAUGUUUCAAUGCAAUUACAGAAUCACAUGAAGUUCCCUGAGACUGCCCUCAAAAUGACACUAUUUAAGAGAAUCAUACAAAAUGCAAUGGAUAUACAAAUCAAAAUGGACUUUCUAUGCAUAUAGGAAUUAAAAUAACCUUACAAUUCAUUUCCAGAUUCCUCCUCAUACACAUAAGUGCUGAAAACUGGACCCAUGGGCCCUUUGGCAUCCAUACUUUGUGCAUCACCAUCUCCACCUUUCCUUUUCUAACCAUCCAUAUGUUUAGAAAAUCAAAAAAUAAAGAAAAAACAUAAUCCAUCUGAAAGUAAGUACAAGUACAAAAGAAAAGGCAAGAUAGUGAAACAAGAAGAUUAAAACCUCACCAUGGCUGAACCAGAAGCCCAAGAAGGAUAUAAUUCUGUAACAAUAUCAAUGUACUUUUGCAUUGCAUCCUCUGGAGGCAUAGCACCGAGUUUCUGCCAUGCUUGCCACUUGGCACGAGCACUAAUUUUGAUGGCGGAAGGAGGGGGAGUACUGCAAGGUCCUUCGGUGGCAAUCUUGUACAAGCCGUAAAGCUGCAACUGCACAUCCGUCGACACCUUCUGAGAAAGCCGAUCCGCUGCAGCCGCCGCCACAAAUGCGGUAGCAGCACUAAACGUUUCGUCCAGUUCGGUGCUCUCGACGCCCUCCCAAUCAUCAUCAUCGUCA